rnacentral:rRNA from 1 species
AUUGAACGCUGGCGGCAGGCCUAACACAUGCAAGUCGAACGGUAACAGGAAGCAGCUUGCUGCUUUGCUGACGAGUGGCGGACGGGUGAGUAAUGUCUGGGAAACUGCCCGAUGGAGGGGGAUAACUACUGGAAACGGUAGCUAAUACCGCAUAACGUCGCAAGAACAAAGAGGGGGACCUUAGGGCCUCUUGCCAUCGGAUGUGCCCAGAUGGGAUUAGCUAGUAGGUGGUGUAACGGCUCACCUAGGCGACGAUCCCUAGCUGGUCUGAGAGGAUGACCAGCCACACUGGAACUGAGACACGGUCCAGACUCCUACGGGAGGCAGCAGUGGGGAAUAUUGCACAAUGGGCGCAAGCCUGAUGCAGCCAUGCCGCGUGUAUGAAGAAGGCCUUCGGGUUGUAAAGUACUUUCAGCGGGGAGGAAGGGAGUAAAGUUAAUACCUUUGCUCAUUGACGUUACCCGCAGAAGAAGCACCGGCUAACUCCGUG